GCCAAUAUAGCAUAGUGGUUUGAGUGCUGGACUGUGAUUUUGGAGACCAGGGUUUGAAUCCCUACUCAGCCA